UGGGGAAUAUUGGACAAUGGGCGAAAGCCUGAUCCAGCCAUGCCGCGUGUGUGAAGAAGGUCUUCGGAUUGUAAAGCACUUUAAGUUGGGAGGAAGGGCAUUAACCUAAUACGUUAGUGUUUUGACGUUACCGACAGAAUAAGCACCGGCUAACUCUGUGCCAGCAGCCGCGGUAAUACAGAGGGUGCAAGCGUUAAUCGGAAUUACUGGGCGUAAAGCGCGCGUAGGUGGUUUGUUAAGUUGGAUGUGAAAGCCCCGGGCUCAACCUGGGAACUGCAUCCAAAACUGGCAAGCUAGAGUACGGUAGAGGGUGGUGGAAUUUCCUGUGUAGCGGUGAAAUGCGUAGAUAUAGGAAGGAACACCAGUGGCGAAGGCGACCACCUGGACUGAUACUGACACUGAGGUGCGAAAGCGUGGGGAGCAAACA
rnacentral:rRNA from 1 species